rnacentral:rRNA from 1 species
GACGAACGCUGGCGGCGUGCCUAACACAUGCAAGUCGAACGAGAAUCGAUGGAUUGCGGCUUCGGCCAAAUGAAGUUGAGGAAAGUGGCGAACGGGUGAGUAACGCGUGAGAAACCUGCCUUUCAGUGGGGGACAACAGUUGGAAACGACUGCUAAUACCGCAUAAUGUAUCGAGAGGGCAUCCUUUUGAUACCAAAGCUUUAUGUGCUGAAAGAUGGUCUCGCGUCUGAUUAGCUUGUUGGCGGGGUAACGGCCCACCAAGGCGACGAUCAGUAGCCGGCCUGAGAGGGUGAACGGCCACAUUGGGACUGAGACACGGCCCAAACUCCUACGGGAGGCAGCAGUGGGGAAUAUUGCACAAUGGGGGAAACCCUGAUGCAGCGACGCCGCGUGAGUGAAGAAGUAUUUCGGUAUGUAAAGCUCUAUCAGCAGGGAAGAAAAAUAACCAAAUUAGACAGUACCUGACUAAGAAGCCCCGGCUAACUACGUGCCAGCA